rnacentral:rRNA from 1 species
UAAGCAUAUCAAUAAGCGGAGGAAAAGAAACUAACAAGGAUUCCCCUAGUAACUGCGAGUGAAGCGGGAAAAGCUCAAAUUUAAAAUCUGGCAGUCUCUGGCUGUCCGAGUUGUAAUCUAGAGAAGUAAUGCCCGUGCUGGACCGUGUAUAAGUCUCCUGGGAUGGGGCGUCAUAGAGGGUGAGAAUCCCGUCUUUGACACGGACUACCAGUGCAUUGUGGUAUGCUCUCAAAGAGUCGAGUUGUUUGGGAAUGCAGCUCAAAAUGGGUGGUAAAUUCCAUCUAAAGCUAAAUAUUGGCGAGAGACCGAUAGCGAACAAGUACCGUGAGGGAAAGAUGAAAAGAACUUUGGAAAGAGAGUUAAACAGUACGUGAAAUUGCUGAAAGGGAAACGCUUGAAGUCAGUCGCGUUGGCCGGGAAUCAGCCUUGCUUUUGCAUGGUGUACUUUCUGGUUGACGGGUCAGCAUCAAUUUUGACCGCUGGAAAAAGGCCUGGGGAAUGUGGCAGCUUCGGCUGUGUUAUAGCCCCUAGUUGCAUACAGUGGUUGGGAUUGAGGAACUCAGCACGCCGCAAGGCCGGGUUUCGACCACGUUCGUGCUUAGGAUGCUGGCAUAAUGGCUUUAAGCGACCCGUCUUGAAACACGGACCAAGGAGUCUAACAUGCCUGCGAGUAUUUGGGUGGAAAACUCAAGUGCGUAAUGAAAGUGAAAGUUGAGAUCCCUGUCGUGGGGAGCAUCGACGCCCGGACCAGAACUUUUGGGACGGAUCCGCGGUGGAGCAUGUAUGUUGGGACCCGAAAGAUGGUGAACUAUGCCUGAAUAGGGUGAAGCCAGAGGAAACUCUGGUGGAGGCUCGUAGCGAUUCUGACGUGCAAAUCGAUCGUCAAAUUUGGGUAUAGGGGCGAAAGACUAAUCGAACCAUCUAGUAGCUGGU